AGAGUUUGAUCAUGGCUCAGGACGAACGCUGGCGGCGCGCUUAACACAUGCAAGUCGUGCGAUACCUCGAGCGAGUCUUACGACAAGCUCAAGGUAGAGCGGCGGACGGGUGAGUAACACGUGAGUAGCUGUCCUAAGGAGGGGGAUAACGCCUGGAAACGGGUGCUAAAACCCCAUAUGCCUCGCAAGAGGUGAAAGUGUAGCUUGCUACAGCCUUAGGGUGUGCUCGCGGCCUAUCAGCUAGUUGGUGAGGUAACGGCUCACCAAGGCUAAGACGGGUAGCCGGCCUGAGAGGGUGUACGGCCACACUGGAAUUGAGAUACGGUCCAGACUCCUACGGGAGGCAGCAGUGGGGAAUCUUGGGCAAUGGGCGAAAGCCUGACCCAGCGACGCCGCGUUGGGGAUGAAGCCCUUCGGGGUGUAAAGCCAUGUUGUAGGGGACGAAGAAAGUGACGGUACCCUACGAGGAAGCCCCGGCUAACUACGUGCCAGCAGCCGCGGUAAGACGUAGGGGGCAAGCGUUGUCCGGAAUUACUGGGCGUAAAGGGCAUGCAGGCGGUGCGCCAAGUCGAGGGUGUAAAGUUACGGCUCAACCGUGACAUUGCAAUCGAUACUGGCGCGCUGGAGUGCGGGAGAGGGAAGUGGAAAUUCCCGGUGUAGCGGUGAAAUGCGUAGAUAUCGGGAGGAACGCCAGUGGCGAAGGCGGCUUCCUGGCCCGCGACUGACGCUCAUGUGCGAAAGCCAGGG
rnacentral:rRNA from 1 species